rfam:Schistosoma haematobium scaffold2984_3, whole genome shotgun sequence.
ACCGAUAUGAUGAGUCCCAAACAGGACGAAACAGGCGUCUUUGAU